AUACGUAGGGUGCAAGCGUUAAUCGGAAUUACUGGGCGUAAAGCGUGCGCAGGCGGUUUUGUAAGACAGUGGUGAAAUCCCCGGGCUCAACCUGGGAACUGCCAUUGUGACUGCAAGGCUGGAGUGCGGCAGAGGGGGAUGGAAUUCCCCGUGUAGCAGUGAAAUGCGUAGAUAUGCGGAGGAACACCGAUGGCGAAGGCAAUCCCCUGGGCCUGCACUGACGCUCAUGCACGAAAGCGUGGGGAGCAAACAGGAUUAGAUACCCUGGUAGUCCACGCCCUAAACGAUGUCAACUGGUUGUUGGGGAUUUAUUUUCUCAGUAACGAAGCUAACGCGUGAAGUUGACCGCCUGGGGAGUACGGCCGCAAGGUUAAAACUCAAAUGAAUUGACGGGG
rnacentral:rRNA from 1 species